rnacentral:lncRNA from 1 species
ACUGGAGCCAAAUCUAUUUCAAAAAUUUGGGGCAUUAACUUUUUUCCUUUUUGAUAAUAUUCAAUGAGAAACAACACUUAGAAAUUUUUUUCCAUGAAAGGAUAGUAAUAUCCAC